rnacentral:rRNA from 1 species
UACGUAGGUGGCAAGCGUUGUCCGGAUUUAUUGGGUUUAAAGGGUGCGUAGGCGGCCUAUUAAGUCAGUGCUGAAAUAUCCCGGCUUAACCGGGAGGGUGGCAUUGAUACUGAUGGGCUUGAGUAGAGUUGAGGUUGGCGGAAUUGACGGUGUAGCGGUGAAAUGCUUAGAUAUCGAGAGGAACACCUGCGGCGAAGGCGGGUUGCUGGGCUGACACUGACGCUGAGGCGCGAAAGCCAGGGGAGCGAACGGG